rnacentral:rRNA from 1 species
GGNCUACCAUGCAGUCGAGCGGAUGACGGGAGCUUGCUCCUUGAUUCAGCGGCGGACGGGUGAGUAAUGCCUAGGAAUCUGCCUGGUAGUGGGGGACAACGUUUCGAAAGGAACGCUAAUACCGCAUACGUCCUACGGGAGAAAGCAGGGGACCUUCGGGCCUUGCGCUAUCAGAUGAGCCUAGGUCGGAUUAGCUAGUUGGUGGGGUAAUGGCUCACCAAGGCGACGAUCCGUAACUGGUCUGAGAGGAUGAUCAGUCACACUGGAACUGAGACACGGUCCAGACUCCUACGGGAGGCAGCAGUGGGGAAUAUUGGACAAUGGGCGAAAGCCUGAUCCAGCCAUGCCGCGUGUGUGAAGAAGGUCUUCGGAUUGUAAAGCACUUUAAGUUGGGAGGAAGGGCAGUAAGCUAAUACCUUGCUGUUUUGACGUUACCGACAGAAUAAGCACCGGCUAACUCUGUGCCAGCAGCCGCGGUAAUACAGAGGGUGCAAGCGUUAAUCGGAAUUACUGGGCGUAAAGCGCGCGUAGGUGGUUUGUUAAGUUGGAUGUGAAAGCCCCGGGCUCAACCUGGGAACUGCAUCCAAAACUGGCAAGCUAGAGUACGGUAGAGGGUGGUGGAAUUUCCUGUGUAGCGGUGANAUGCGUAGAUAUGGGAAAGAACACCAGU